rnacentral:rRNA from 1 species
UACGAAGGGGGCUAGCGUUGUUCGGAAUCACUGGGCGUAAAGCGCACGUAGGCGGAUUUUUAAGUCAGGGGUGAAAUCCCGAGGCUCAACCUCGGAACUGCCUUUGAUACUGGAGAUCUUGAGUCCGGAAGAGGUAAGUGGAACUGCGAGUGUAGAGGUGAAAUUCGUAGAUAUUCGCAAGAACACCAGUGGCGAAGGCGGCUUACUGGUCCGGAACUGACGCUGAGGUGCGAAAG